AGCCAGGUACACCGGCAAGGAUGGCAAUGGGGGAGUCCUGCUACUGUUGUGGCGAGUUGGUAAACGUGGUGCGGAGCUGCCUGGCUCCGGCGCCUCGACAUUGAUGUCGGGAAACUGGAGGAGAGUGGAUGGGAGGUGGGACUGCGCCUCACCUCACCUACUACCCCCCUCCAUAGGAAAUAUGCGAUGGCGGGUCAGGAUUAUAGCCUCUACAUUUCAUGCACUACGGACGGUUACCUCUACCAAGCCCUCGUGGACACCGACUCCACAAUCUCUGGUGUCCGGCCGGGUGUUCUACUUGGCACCGCAGCCGGCUGGCUGGGCUUCCACGCCGAAGUGCAUGCGGACAGUGACUGGUGCGAGAGCCAUGCUCCAUGGAAAAAGUUUUGCUCAAGCGUUGAGCACGAUGUUUGGCUUGGCUGGAAGACGGGCAACGACCGGAGCGGGAGGUAAUAGCUCGGCUGGACCCUGAGACCCCCCCCAAACAUGAACAAGGCAGCUGGCAUCAAAGACUGAGAACUCUCCUUCAGGAUUACAGACUCUGAGCUCAGAAACUGGAGUUCUUCUGAUUGGUCUGUCGCAAGGACUGUUGGGUAGCGGACUACCAUGAGCCCGGAGCAGUGCGGGCUUCAACGAUGACCGCAGCGAGGGCGCAAAGGGGCGCUCGCGAGACCCCUCGCAAGUGCUAAAAUCACAAAUGGGACACACUACGGACUCGUAGACUUCACAAGCAACUGAAGGCCAUUGAGACCGCAAGUCCACAUGAAGUGCGCCAUUUGGGACAGCGCCAACAACUGAGAACUCUCCUUCAGGAUUACAGACCCUGAGUUAAUGUUGCAUGUCUAACUGUAGCGCACCCUCCACUGGUCAAACUAAACAUAACACCUACAUUCACUACAGGUACUUUAUAUUAAGGUAAAUUAACAGUCAGAGCUGUUUGCUGUCCAUGGUGCUAAAUAACUCCUUGUUCUCUCCUCGUGUUCACUUUACUGUCUUUCUGUAUUUUCUGAAUACUGAUGAAGAUGUACAUCCUGAGCAUGUGGGCAAGGAGGAGGUGGGAACUGGACGAACCAUCAAAAUAAUGUUUAAUGAAAACUUAAAAAGACACAAACAUAAACACACAGCAGCUGCGUGUGGCUCUCUCUCUCUCGAACUGCCGCAUCCGGCUCGGCUUUAUCCCUCUCCUCGGCUGAUUAGUCUGACUGGGGGCCGGCUGUGCGGACUCACGGCCCUGCCCCGCCCUCCUCUUUGUCACACAGUUAUUUGUCAUUUAGUGAUUAUUUAGAGCUCAUCUUAUACUUAAUAUGUUGUUUUUGGUUGUCAACAUUAUUGUGAUUUGUAUGUCAAAUAAUGAGGUCCACACGUGGUACAAAAUUAAUGUGCUCAUACUGAUAUGCGCUCCGAUGUGUAAAUAAUCUCAAAAUAAAAACCAUUAUAUUAUU